GAUGAACGCUGGCGGCGUGCCUAAUACAUGCAAGUCGAGCGAACGGACGAGAAGCUUGCUUCUCUGAUGUUAGCGGCGGACGGGUGAGUAACACGUGGAUAACCUACCUAUAAGACUGGGAUAACUUCGGGAAACCGGAGCUAAUACCGGAUAAUAUUUUGAACCGCAUGGCUCAAAAGUGAAAGACGGUCUUGCUGUCACUUAUAGAUGGAUCCGCGCUGCAUUAGCUAGUUGGUAAGGUAACGGCUUACCAAGGCAACGAUGCAUAGCCGACCUGAGAGGGUGAUCGGCCACACUGGAACUGAGACACGGUCCAGACUCCUACGGGAGGCAGCAGUAGGGAAUCUUCCGCAAAGGGCGAAAGCCUGACGGAGCAACGCCGCGUGAGUGAUGAAGGUCUUCGGAUCGUAAAACUCUGUUAUUAGGGAAGAACAUAUGUGUAAGUAACUGUGCACAUCUUGACGGUACCUAAUCAGAAAGCCACGGCUAACUACGUG
rnacentral:rRNA from 1 species